AUUGAACGCUGGCGGCAGGCUUAACACAUGCAAGUCGAACGAGUGGCGGACGGGUGAGUAAUGCUUGGGAAUCUAACUUAUGGAGGGGGAUCACUACGGGAAACUGUAGCUAAUACCGCGUACAAUAAGAUGAGCCCACGUGGGAUUAGGUAGUGGGUGGGGUAAAGGCUCACCAAGCCGACGAUCUCUAGCUGGUCUGAGAGGAUGACCAGCCACACUGGGACGGAGACACGGCCCAGACUCCUACGGUAGGCAGCAGGGGGGAAUAUUGCGCAAUGGGGGCAACCCUGACGCAGCCAUGCCGCGUGUAUGAAGAAGGCCUUAGGGUUGUAAAGUACGUUCAGCGGGGAGGCGUUACCCGCAGAAGAAGCACCGGCUAACUCCGUGCCAGCCGCCGCGGUAAUAC
rnacentral:rRNA from 1 species